AAAUUGAAGAGUUUGAUCAUGGCUCAGAUUGAACGCUGGCGGCAGGCCUAACACAUGCAAGUCGAGCGGUAGCACAGAGAGCUUGCUCUCGGGUGACGAGCGGCGGACGGGUGAGUAAUGUCUGGGAAACUGCCUGAUGGAGGGGGAUAACUACUGGAAACGGUAGCUAAUACCGCAUAACGUCGCAAGACCAAAGAUGGGUACCUUCGGGCCUCUUGCCAUCGGAUGU
rnacentral:rRNA from 1 species